rnacentral:lncRNA from 1 species
GAAGCCACCGCUGGGGCGGGGCAGAAGCUGGAGGGCGGAGGUUGACGCGGAGUCGCUGCUGGUUCGAAUGGACAGAAAAGCCUGCGCCAGUUUGAGUUCGGUGGGAACGCCGGUGCCAUGGAGCCUCGGUACCGCCCUGUCCCACUGUUGUUGCGCCUUUAUUCCCUGGUUUCUUCAACAAACAUUUAUCGAGCGGUUGCGGUGAUAGUCCUUGGAGAGUGCUUUGCUGCGUGCUGGGGAACUCCAGAGUUGAUUAUCCUGGUCCAGCCGGAGUUUACAUCGUUGGGGAUGGCUGACCUACAGAAAACAGCUGUUUAAUCAUCUCCUCCAAUCGAAAUCAGUGUCCUUUUCACCAAAUAAAAUAAUCUCCCUGCUCUCGUGAAGGGAGGCCGCACUCAGGAGCCAGAGGCGUUUAUUUGCCUAGUAGGAAGAAUGUGCCAAAACGGCCCCACCGGGGGCAUAGGAAGUUGAGUGGGAGCUGCAGCUGCCAGCCUGUACCACAGCCACAGCAAGGCCAGAUCCAAGCCAUGUCUGCCAUCUACACCACAGCUCAUGGCAACAAUGCUGGAUCCUUAACCCACUGAAUGAGGCCGGGGGUCAAACCAGAGUCCUCAUGGAUACUAGUUGGAUUUGUUACCACUGAGCCACAAUGGAACUCCCUCUUCUCCCUGAUUUUUAGCUUGCAGACCUUGAAACCUGCAUUUUCCUCUUAGAGUAGCUGCCUCCUCCUGGGCUUAUAUCCUUCCUACUCAUGCUAAUGCCUUGCUUGGACACUCAGCAUGUUCAACAUCUUUGCUUCUUACCCACCACUGUAUCCACUGUUCAAAUUAACAACCCUGGAUCCAUCCUGUGGUAUAUUUUCUUGGAUUGGAUGUUGUGACUGGCUUGAAACAGGUACAAUAUAUAUUCAAUGAACACUAAGGAGGCUGUUCUGUUGGAGAAUAGCACAGAUUGAUAUGUAAUAACAGCACAGAUUGAUGCUGUAAUAAAUUCUUGGUUUUAGUAUCAGUUUGGGUUCUCAGCUUCUUUCACCUCCCUUCUUCCAGUUAGGAACUCUGGAUCUAUGAACUGACAGGAGUCUGGGUGUUGGAUACUUUCUAUUUUCUCUGAUUUUUUUGUUUGUUUUUGGUCACACCUGUGGUGUGCAGAAAUUCCCAGUCUAGAGAUAGAACACACACCACAGAAGUUACAAUGCUGGAUCCUUUAACUGCUAGGCCACCAGGGAACUCCUAGACUUUCUCUGAUUUUUUUUUUUUUUUGGUCUUUUUAGGGCCACUCCCUCAGCAUGUGGAAGUUCUCGAGCUACGGGUCCAAUCAGAGCCAGAGCUGCCAGCGUACGCCACAGCCAUAGCAAUACCAGACCCAAGCUACAUCUGACCUACACCACAGCUCACAGCAGCGCUGGAUCCUUAAACCACUGAGCGAGGCCAGGGUCAAACCUGCAUCCUCACAGAUACUAGUCAGGUUCAUUUCCACAGAGCCACAGUGGGAACUCUCUCCAAUUUUUUAGAUAAAGCCAUACCUUGGUGGAGGCUGUCCAUCUAUUUUAUUCUUGGGAACUUUAUGAUCAACUAGAAAUUGCCAGAGACCCUGAGAGGCUAAAUGCUCCAAUGGCCAUUCUGCCCUGUGCUUUAUUAUGUUAAUUGUGCCCACUUUGUCCCUGCUGGUCCUUGCUGGUCAGGUGCCACCACCUGACCUCUACCACACAGGGGACCCAUUAUUCCCACUGAAAUCAGGAUACCCAAUUCAAUGGCAGUAUCUCCCAGUAACAUCUCUGGCCUACAGAGGACAGUCAGAUGAUUUUUAUGGAUGCUGGUGCUCCCUUCACUAAAGCAUUCCUGGGCCUCCUGGGUUGUACAGUAGGGGUUGGCUGGGCUGGGUGCACAUAGUGAAUUAACACCAGCAUCCCAUCUCACUAAGCCAUCAAACUCCUCUAACAUAUGCUAGGAAAGUUUCAGCAUCUCAACCUGGGCCGUCUAGGAACCAGGUUUCAAUCAGCUGUACAAGCAAACCCUUAGCACCAUUUGGUACCGUAACAGCCAUUUCAGGACCAAAGCAAAAGAGAGAGCUGCAGCUAUGGUAACAGAUCCAAUUGCAUCCAAAAUGUCUGUGAUGAAUAGGGAUAUUGUAUGCAGCCCCUGACAACGCCUAUUGGAGCAAGACAUAUCCAUUUGACAGGCAGUUCCUUGGCUGCUACUGGAUAUGUUGAAUCUAGAAUUCUUGGCAAGUGCACUCAUAUUGAUCAGUUUCGUCCUCUCUAAUUUUAUAAUCCAUCCUAUUUGGUCAAUGCCUUUAUUGUCCAUUCCAAGGAUCUUGUGGCUGUGAGUUGGUAGAAUCCUGCAACUCCUUUGGAAUAUACUUUUUCUCUUCCUGAAUUAGGUUUUGUGAUUCACUCUUUAGGAUGUAUAGGAAUUUCUUUUCCUAAAAAAAAAAAAAAAAAAGUUUUACUUGGAAAUAAUUUCAAACUCACAGAAACGUUACAGGAAUAAAAAUAGGAUAAAAAUUAUCCAUACACCUGUUAGGGGUUGAAUUGUAUCCCCAAAAUAGAUAUGUUGAGAUCAUAACCUUGAUACCAUGGAGUGGAACCUUAUUUCGAAAUAGGGUCUUUACAGAGGUGAUCAGGUUUUUCGCUUAAGGUCUUUAGCUUAGGCCCUAAUCCAAUAUGACUGGUGUCCUUAAUGCAAAGGGGAAAUGUGAGCACAGAGAAACACGCAGGGAAAAUGGCACAGGAACAUGAAAAUGGAGAUGAGUGAUGUGUCUACGUCUAAAAGCCAAGGAACGAAAGGUUUACAGCAAAGCGCCAGCAGCUUUUGCAGGCGAGAGCCCUGGAACAAUUUUCCCAUCACAGCCUCAGGAGGAACCUUGAUCUUGGACUUCCAGCCUCCAGGGCUGGGAGACAGUACAUUUCUGAGGUUUAAGCCAUGCCAAGUGUGUAGUACUUUGUUGGCAGCCUUGGCAAGCUAAUGCAUACUGCUUACCCACGUUUGUUAAUUGUUAACAUUUUGUAUCACUUGCGUGGAUUUUCUCUCAAUAAAUAUGUGCAUAAUAUAUAUUUUACUGAACAAUUUAUGAGUAAAUUGUAUAUGUUGUGACCCUUUAUUCCUAAAUAUUUCAGGGUAUGUUUUCUAAGAAUAAGGAUAUUCUCUUAUGUAGACACCACAGUGCAGUGAUCAACUUCAGUACAUUUAACCUUAAUAAAAUCGUUUCAUUUACUCU